rnacentral:lncRNA from 1 species
GGACACGUUAGCCUGAUUGUGGUCAACAUGUAAUGUAAAUAAUAUGAACAUGUAAAAACAGAGCAAAAUGUCAAGUGGUACAUCUUAGGUAUACACAGUUUCUAUUUGGUUAAUUAUACUCCAAUAAAGCUGGGAAAAGAACAGUUUCACAAUUUGGAUCAGAGCUCAGAGGAGAGGUCAGAGCUGGAGGGUUCAAGAACUUGUUAAUUUACCCAAGUUGGCCUUGAAUUUGCUGCCAUCCUGCCUUAGCCUCCAGGAGUGCUGAGAUUACAGGGUCUUAAAAUACACUUCAGGCUGGUCUUGAACUUGCAGUGAUCCUUCUGCCCCCAGUGCUGGGAUUAUAGUGAAUAUUUCCAUCUGUUAUAAACUUAUAAAAAAAUGAAAUGCAACUUUAUAUGAAUAGUCUUCCAUUUUAUGAAUGUGUCAUAAUGUAUUUAAUUAAUAUAUUCAAAGGAAUCCAACGGCCACUGUGCUGAUCAGAGACCCCUCUAAACCACCCCUCCCAGCACAGCGGCACCCAAGGACUCCUAACAUUAUCACCCCUGCUACUGAGAGCAGCCACUCCUCCCCGAGCUUUCCCAAGCCUCCUCCUGUCCUUUGUAAUCAUUCCCGCUGUGCUCUCUCAAGCCUUGUUCUUGGCAGGUGGUCACAACCCUGUCUCCCUGAGAUCUCCUCUCCCCAGGACCCUACAAAAUAACCCCUCUCCUGGCCUGCACGAGAGCAGCUGGUCUGGUUUCUGGUGCCACAGUGGUCCCUUUAGGUCUGUUCUGCAAUAAACUUGUCCUGUUGAGGUCCUACCUCUGUUUCUUCUUUUCCUUUUUCCUAACAACAUUGACCACUUAAUCUGUUUCCAGGGCAGUGACAUUCUGAUUUUAAUGAUGUCAAAGUAGCCUCAAUAAAUAGUCUGAAUUCAGAUUGUUUAGUUACAGAAUUGUCUUUGUUAUUGAAUGAAAUGGUAAAAGCCAAUUUGCAUUUUGGAACAGUAAAAUUUACUAAGUGAUUGUGUUUGUGAUGAUAUGACGAAGACCAGGGUUAUUUAAAAGUACAAGUUUAUUUAAAACUAUCCAAAAACUAUGUACUUCCACAAGUAGAAUUUUCCAU